rnacentral:tRNA from 1 species
GGGCGAUUAGCUCAGCUGGUCAGAGCGCUGGUCUCACAUACCAGAGGUCGGGGGUUCAAGUCCCUCAUCGCCCA